rnacentral:rRNA from 1 species
CCUACGGGGGGCAGCAGUGGGGGAUAUUGGACAAUGGGGGAAACCCUGAUCCAGCGACGCCGCGUGAGUGAAGAAGUAUUUCGGUAUGUAAAGCUCUGUCAGCAGGGAAGAAAGAAAUGACGGUACCUGACCAAGAAGCCCCGGCUAACUACGUGCCAGCAGCCGCGGUAAUACGUAGGGGGCAAGCGUUAUCCGGAAUUACUGGGUGUAAAGGGAGCGUAGACGGCAGCGCAAGUCUGGAGUGAAAUGCCGGGGCCCAACCCCGGAACUGCUCUGGAAACUGUGAAGCUGGAGUGCAGGAGAGGUAAGCGGAAUUCGUGGUGUAGCGGUGAAAUGCGUAGAUAUCAGGAGGAACACCGGGGGCGAAGGCGGCUUACUGGACUGUAACUGACGUUGAGGCUCGAAGGCGUGGGGAGCAAACAGGAUUAGAUACCCCAGUAGUC